UUGGAGGGCAAGUCUGGUGCCAGCAGCCGCGGUAAUUCCAGCUCCAAUAGCGUAUAUUAAAGUUGUUGCAGUUAAAAAGCCCGUAGUUGAAUUUCGGAAUCAGUACGUUGGUCGUGCCUUAGGUACGUACUGGUGUUACUGGUUUCUACCUUCUGACGAACCAUCAUGUCAUUCAUUUGGUGUGGCGGGGAAUCAGGACUGUUACUUUGAAAAAAUUAGAGUGUUUAAAGCAGGCUCGCGCUUGAAUACAUUAGCAUGGAAUAAUGAAAUAGGACGUUGAUCCUAUUUUGUUGGUUUCUAGGAUUGACGUAAUGAUUAAUAGGGAUAGUUGGGGGCAUUAGUAUUCAAUUGUCAGAGGUGAAAUUCUUGGAUUUAUUGAAGACUAACUACUGCGAAAGCAUUUGCCAAGGAUGUUUUCAUUAAUCAAGAACGAAAGUUAGGGGAUCGAAGACGAUCAGAUACCGUCGUAGUCUUAACCAUAAACUAUGCCGACUAGGGAUCGGAUGAUGUUAUUUUUAAUGACUCAUUCGGCGCCUUACGGGAAAC
rnacentral:rRNA from 1 species